UUUACAUGAUGAAUAACUUUAUCACCAUCUUUCGACUGAGAAACAGUGCUGUUACUUACUUAGUAUCUGAUUAUAUUG